GGAUGUGAGGAUGAGCUGGCUGUGACAUCAGUCACCCUAUUGAUCACUGGGGUUGAUUCAGCUGAUCCGGCUGGCUAGGUGGAUGUCCUCUUCCUCUCUCACUGCUCCGUGUGUGUCCUUUGGGAAGCUGCCCUCAGCGAGGAAGAGGAGGAACACUCCUGAUAGAAGAAGAUCGUUUCCUCGGUCAAGGGUAUACCAGUAGCUGCACUCCCCUGCACAAUCUCCAAACAAGCUCUCAAUAUGAAAAUGAAAGCGGCACUCCGUCUACUUAAAAAUCUGGUAAUUUGAAUUCCAGUGCUCAUUAUU
rnacentral:snRNA from 1 species